rnacentral:misc_RNA from 1 species
AUUAAGCAACAGCGAAACUACUUGUCAAAUUUAUUUGAAUAUAGAUGCAACGUCUGGUUGGAAAAUGCAGAAUCGGUAUACAGAAUUUCCCAGGUGAUUGAUGACACUGUUUGUUGGCAGCUAAGGUGAUUAAAUAGUUCAUGAGGAAAUUGGAAGAAUAAGAGAGAAUUGAUGACAGUUCGCAAUGGGUUGGAUCAAUUAUAAUACCUUCUAGUUUCAUCAGUCCGGUGAAAGAACGUAUUGCUAUU